rnacentral:rRNA from 1 species
GUGCCAGCAGCCGCGGUAAUACGGAGGGUGCAAGCGUUAUCCGGAUUCACUGGGUUUAAAGGGUGCGUAGGUGGGUUGAUAAGUCAGUGGUGAAAUCCCCGAGCUUAACUUGGGAACUGCCAUUGAUACUAUUGAUCUUGAAUACCGUGGAGGUCAGCGGAAUAUGUCAUGUAGCGGUGAAAUGCUUAGAUAUGACAUAGAACACCAAUUGCGAAGGCAGCUGGCUACGCGAAUAUUGACACUGAUGCACGAAAGCGUGGGGAUCAAACAGGAUUAGAUACCCUAGUAGUCC